rnacentral:lncRNA from 1 species
GGGUUCCUCAGAGUUUCACGAGUCCAGGGUUACAGCCACUGACUCAAGCUGGUGGGACCAUUUUAGACUUCUGAGCUCUAGGACUAAUUCACAGAUCCAGUCUGUCAUGGCAGGGAAGACAAGUCCAAGCUGAGCUUGAAACAGCUGCUCGUGUCAACCCCUACUAUGAGGAAGCAGAGACGAACCCUAUUGCUGCUGAGCACAGGCCUGGUUGCUGACCAGGGAAUGCUGCCAUCUACAGUGGGCAGGUCCUCUAAUCUCAGUGAACGAAGUCAAGACAACCCUCCCUCCCCAGGAGUGGCCAAAGGCUCAUCUCCCAGGAAGAACAGGCGGGGCUACCAGACGAG